rnacentral:rRNA from 1 species
CAGCAGUGGGGAAUAUUGGACAAUGGGCGCAAGCCUGAUCCAGCCAUACCGCGUGGGUGAAGAAGGCCUUCGGGUUGUAAAGCCCUUUUGUUGGGAAAGAAAUCCAGCUGGCUAAUACCCGGUUGGGAUGACGGUACCCAAAGAAUAAGCACCGGCUAACUUCGUGCCAGCAGCCGCGGUAAUACGAAGGGUGCAAGCGUUACUCGGAAUUACUGGGCGUAAAGCGUGCGUAGGUGGUCGUUUAAGUCCGUUGUGAAAGCCCUGGGCUCAACCUGGGAACUGCAGUGGAUACUGGGCGACUAGAGUGUGGUAGAGGGUAGCGGAAUUCCUGGUGUAGCAGUGAAAUGCGUAGAGAUCAGGAGGAACAUCCAUGGCGAAGGCAGCUACCUGGACCAACACUGACACUGAGGCACGAAAGCGUGGGGAGCAAACAGGAUUAGAUACCCUGGUAGUCCACGCCCUAAACGAUGCGAACUGGAUGUU